rnacentral:rRNA from 1 species
UACGAAGGGGGCUAGCGUUGCUCGGAAUCACUGGGCGUAAAGCGCACGUAGGCGGACUCUUAAGUCGGUGGUGAAAUCCCGGAGCUCAACUCCGGAACUGCCUUUGAUACUGGCGAUCUCGAGAUCGGAAGAGGUGAGUGGAAUUCCCAGUGUAGAGGUGAAAUUCGUAGAUAUUGGGAAGAACACCGGUGGCGAAGGCGGCUCACUGGUCCGAUACUGACGCUGAGGUGCGAAAGCGUGGGGAGCAAACAGG